rnacentral:rRNA from 1 species
AUUGAACGCUGGCGGCAUGCCUUACACAUGCAAGUCGAACGGUAACGGGCCUUCGGGUGCCGACGAGUGGCGAACGGGUGAGUAAUAUAUCGGAACGUGCCCAGUAGUGGGGGAUAGCCCGGCGAAAGCCGGAUUAAUACCGCAUACGACCUACGGGUGAAAGGGGGGGAUCGCAAGACCUCUCGCUAUUGGAGCGGCCGAUAUCAGAUGAGGUGGUUGGUGGGGUAAAGGCCUACCAAGCCUGCGAUCUGUAGUUGGUCUACGAGGACGACCAGCCACACUGGGACUGAGACACGGCCCAGACUCCUACGGGAGGCAGCAGUGGGGAAUGUUGGACAAGGGGGGCAACCCUGAUCCAGCAAUGCCGCGUACAGGAAGAAGGCCUUCGGGUUGUAAACUGCUUUUGUCAGGGAAGAAAUCCUCUGGGUUAAUACCUCGGGGGGAUGACGGUACCUGAAGAAUAAGCACCGGCUAACUACGUGCCAGCAGCCGCAGUAAGAC